UUUAGUGGCGGACGGGUGAGUAACGCGUGAGAAUCUGCCUAUUGGUUUGGGAUAACAGCCGGAAACGGCUGCUAAUACCAGAUAUGCGCUUGAGUGAAAGGAGUUAAUCUCCGCCACUAGAUGAGCUCGCGUCCGAUUAGCUAGUUGGUGUGGUAAGAGCGCACCAAGGCAACGAUCGGUAGCUGGUUUGAGAGGACGACCAGCCACACUGGGACUGAGACACGGCCCAGGCUCCUACGGGAGGCAGGCAUGGGGAUUUUUCCCGCAGUGGGCGAAAGCCUGACGGAGCAAUACGGCGGGGGGGGAGGAAGGUUCUUGGAUUGUAAACCUCUUUUCCCACAGAAAGAAUAAUGACGGUAUCUGAGGAAUAAGCAUCGGCUAACUCCGUGCCAGCAGCCGCGGUAAUACGGAGGAUGCAAGCGUUAUCCGGAAUGAUUGGGCGUAAAGGGUCCGCAGGUGGUUGUUCAAGUCUGCUGUUAAAGCGUCUGGCUUAACUAGAUAAAGGCAGUGGAAACUGAACGGACUAGUAGUGCGGUAGAGGUAGAGUCAAUUCCCAGUGUAGCAGUUGAAAUGCGUACAGCAUUCGGGCUUGAAGCAAGCAGCGGCGUAAAGCGCUCUACCUGUACCGCAAUCUUGCACUACCUCAUGGACGAAAGCUAGGGGAGCGAAUGGGAUUAGAUACCCCAGUAGUCCUAGCCGUAAACGAUGGAUACUAGGUGUGGCCUGUAUCGACCCGGGCCGUGCCGGAGCUAACGCGUUAAGUAUCCCGCCUGGGGAGUACGCACGCAAGUGUGAAACUCAAAGGAAUUGACGGGGGCCCGCACAAGCGGUGGAGUAUGUGGUUUAAUUCGAUGCAACGCGAAGAACCUUACCAGGGCUUGACAUGUCCAGAAUUUCGGUGAAAGCUGAAAGUGCCUUCGGGAACUGGAACACAGGUGGUGCAUGGCUGUCGUCAGCUCGUGUCGUGAGAUGUUGGGUUAAGUCCCGCAACGAGCGCAACCCUCGUCCUCAGUUGCCAUCAUUAAGUUGGGAACUCUGGGGAGACUGCCGGUGACAAACCGGAGGAAGGUGGGGAUGACGUCAAGUCAGCAUGCCCCUUACGUCCUGGGCGACACACGUACUACAAUGGUCGGGACAGAGGGUAGCCAAACUGCAAAGUCGAGCCAAUCCCACAAACCCGGCCCCAGUUCAGAUCGCUCUCUGCAACUCGAGAGCGUGAAGGAGGAAUCGCUAGUAAUCGCCGGUCAGCAUACGGCGGUGAAUCCGUUCCCGGGCCUUGUACACACCGCCCGUCACACCAGGGAAGCUGGCUACGCCCGAA
rnacentral:rRNA from 1 species